AUGUGCACUAUUGGUUGGGGCGUCCGCCUGAGUGAAAGUUGGGGCUGUGCCAGGAUAAACCUGACAAAUGAUAAAUACCAGGUAAUUAAGCCACCGGAAGGUUUUCGCCCAGAAUAUGAUACGGGACAUUACUUAGGAAAAUCGAGGAACGGUGUAUAUUAUGCACUACUUAAUGACCUGAGACUUCGGAUUUGGUACCUCGACGGAACAGGUGAUCGGAUAAACUGGAUCUUAAAGUCUGAUGUAGACCUCCGCAAUCUUCUAGCAGUUUUCACUCCAAACCACAGUGAUCGUUCCGCGGAAGUUCAGUAUGCUAAAUGUGAUGAAGAUGAUGGGAGCAAUGCACUAGUGAAGGAGGAUUUUGGACUGAAUUUUGAUAACGAUAAUGCCACUAGCACUGAAGACAGGCCGAAGCAUAUCGGAUAUUCUAUACUUGGAUUUCAUCCAAACGAAGAGAUAGUCUUCUUCCAUACACCCUUCAACAGGGAGUGA
rnacentral:rRNA from 1 species